UACGUAGGGGGCAAGCGUUGUCCGGAUUUACUGGGCGUAAAGAGCGUGUAGGCGGCCAGGCAGGUCUGUUGUGAAAACUGGAGGCUCAACCUCCAGCCUGCAGUGGGUACGGGCAAACUAGAGUGCGGUAGGGGAGAUUGGAAUUCCUGGUGUAGCGGUGGAAUGCGCAGAUAUCAGGAGGAACACCGAUGGCGAAGGCAGAUCUCUGGGCCGUAACUGACGCUGAGGAGCGAAAGCAUGGGGAGCGAACAGG
rnacentral:rRNA from 1 species